rnacentral:rRNA from 1 species
GACGAACGCUGGCGGCGCGCUUAACACAUGCAAGUCGAGCGAUGAAAUUUCGACAGAUCCCUUCGGGGUGAAGAUGAAAUGGAUUAGCGGCGGACGGGUGAGUAACACGUGAGUAACCUGCCUUUGACAUUGGGAUAGCCUCGGGAAACUGGGAUUAAUACCAAAUGACACUAACUGAUCACAUGAUCAAUUAGUCAAAGAAAUUCGGUCAAAGAUGGACUCGCGGCUGAUUAGCUAGUUGGUGAGGUAACGGCCCACCAAGGCGACGAUCAGUAGCCGGGAUGGGAGGGAGAGCGGCGACAUUGGAACUGGGACACGGUCGAAACUCCUACGGGAGGCAGCAGUGGGGAAUAGUGCACAAUGGGGGAAACGCUGAUGCAGCGAGGCCGGGUGAGCGAAGAAGGCAUGCGGGUCGUAAAGCUCUUUUAUGAGGGAAGAUAAUGACGGUACCUCAAGAAAAAGCCCCGGCUAACUACGUG